GAGAGUGUGGUGUAAAGGCUGCACGCCGCCCUGUGAAGGCGGAGGUCAUGGGUUCGAGUCCCGCCGCUCUCCCCA
rnacentral:tRNA from 1 species